rnacentral:rRNA from 1 species
UACGGGAGGCAGCAGUGAGGAAUAUUGGUCAAUGGCCGCAGGGCUGAACCAGCCAAGUCGCGUGAGGGAUGACGGUCCUAUGGAUUGUAAACCUCUUUUGUCAGGGAGCAAAGGGCGCCACGUGUGGCGUUUUGCGAGUACCUGAAGAAAAAGCAUCGGCUAACUCCGUGCCAGCAGCCGCGGUAAUACGGAGGAUGCGAGCGUUAUCCGGAUUUAUUGGGUUUAAAGGGUGCGCAGGCGGAAUGUCAAGUCAGCGGUAAAAUUUCGGGGCUCAACCCCGUCGUGCCGUUGAAACUGGCGUUCUUGAGUGAGCGAGAAGUAUGCGGAAUGCGUGGUGUAGCGGUGAAAUGCAUAGAUAUCACGCAGAACUCCGAUUGCGAAGGCAGCAUACCGGCGCUCAACUGACGCUCAUGCACGAAAGCGUGGGUAUCGAACAGGAUUAGAUACCCUGGUAGUCCACGCAGUAAACGAUGAAUACUAACUGUCCGGGC